CUGUCAAAAAUUAAAUGCAAAUCAUCACUAUACUGAUUUGGUAUCAUCAUUUUGUGUUUUAUCUAUAGAUAUGGUUGAGGAUUUUCCAAUUGACUAUAUUCAUCAGUCUUGUCUUGGUGUAAUGCGAAAAUUGUUGGUGACCUGGAUUAGAGAUACUGACAAAAAAGGAGUAAAAAUGUUUGCAGCUCAUAAGAAUGAUAUUAGUGCUAAAUUGCUUGAAUUAAAAAAAAUGUGUUCCUAAAAAUUUUGUAAGAAAGCCACGUUCUCUUGAUGAAAUUGAUUUUUGGAAAGCAACCGAGUAUAGGCAAUUUUUAUUGUAGACUGGAAAAGUUGUGCUGAAAAGCAUCUUGCAAAAAGACCUAUUUCAACACUUUUUAGUUUUAAGUGUAGCUUUAUAUAUACUAGUCAGUACAAGGUUAGUUAGAAAAUAUGAAACUUAUGCACACCAAUUACUUUUAUAUUUUGUCGAUCAAGCUAAAGAUCUUUAUGGACCUCAGUUUCUUGUAUAUAAUGUCCUCAGUUUAGUACACCUAGUUGCAGUUGCUAAACGAUAUGGCAAUGUAGAUAGGUGCAGUGGUUUUUGUUUUGAAAACUAUCUUCAGGUUUUGAAAAAAAAAGUUAGAUCAGGUAGAGCUCCGCUUAGCCAGGUUGUUAAACGUCUUAGUGAAAUUAAUAUUAUGGUCCUGCCUCAAAAAUUGCAUACUAAAAUAAUUUGCAUGAGUCGCCCCAACAAUUUAUAUAUGCUGGAUGAUGGAAGAUUCUGUGAAGUUCUUUUCAAAGAAGGGGUAAAUCUAAAUUUUGACUUCAGCAAUAUCGUUGCAGAAUAUUUCAAAGAACAAAGUCGUUGUUUGAUGUCCCUUGUGACUCCCGACUUAUUGGAGUUCAUGUUGCAAAAUUUGACUACGCUUUUAUUGAAGUUGUUUUAUCAACGGCCAUAAAAAGCAAGGUUUUAUGAUUCCAAAAGAAAAUAAGAAAAAAAUUAUACUUAUGACUUUGCUACAUGACAUGUAAAACCUAAUAUUUUAAAGAUAUGUUUAGAAAAAAAGUUGUAAUCAUCUGACUGAAUCAAUUUGCUUAUGUUUUAAUGUUUAUUUUUUAAUCAUUUAGUUCACUAUUAAGUUUAAUUAAUAUUAAGAUGCAAAAAUUUAUUUUUAUUGUUUAGAAACUGAGUAGCGGUCCCUUUGUUGUUGUUGAGUUUGUUGAUGAGCAAUCAGUGGAGGUAAUGCCAAAAAGUUGGAUUGUUUGCGAGAAUGAGCAACUGCUUGAUCAUUGGCCCAGAAAGGAUCUAGUGUGCAGAGUCAAAAAGAGUGAAUUACCUGAUCCGAAAUGGCCACUAUUCAAAAUUAGAACUUUUGGGGCUGCAGUGGAAAGCAUCAGAUUUAGCUAAGAGUGCAUUAGUAAUGUCAAAUGUGGAAGAUUCUGAUAUAAACAAAGAGACUUCUUCUGAUAUUGAAGAUGUAACCUCUUCUUGGUGAUCACAAUUCUCCGAGGAAAAAAAUCAAACUUAUAUCUGCACAAAGAUACAAUUCAAAACAAUGGCAAGAG